AUACGUAGGUGGCGAGCGUUGUCCGGAAUUACUGGGCGUAAAGGGCGUGUAGGCGGCCUUUCAAGUCAGAUGUGAAAUCUCAGGGCUUAACCCUGAAACUGCAUUUGAAACUGGAGGGCUUGAGGACCGGAGAGGGCAGUGGAAUUCCCAGUGUAGCGGUGAAAUGCGUAGAUAUUGGGAAGAACACCAGUGGCGAAGGCGACUGCCUGGACGGCUCCUGACGCUGAGGCGCGAAAGCUAGGGGAGCGAACGGGAUUAGAUACCCCGGUAGUCCUAGCCGUAAACGAUGGGUACUAGGUGUGGGAGGUAUCGACCCCUUCCGUGCCGCAGUUAACACAAUAAGUACCCCGCCUGGGGAGUACGGCCGCAAGGUUGAA
rnacentral:rRNA from 1 species